rnacentral:rRNA from 1 species
UACGAAGGGGGCUAGCGUUGUUCGGAUUUACUGGGCGUAAAGCGCACGUAGGCGGAUUGUUAAGUCAGGGGUGAAAUCCUGGAGCUCAACUCCAGAACUGCCUUUGAUACUGGCAAUCUUGAGUCCGGAAGAGGUGAGUGGAACUCCUAGUGUAGAGGUGGAAUUCGUAGAUAUUAGGAAGAACACCAGUGGCGAAGGCGGCUCACUGGUCCGGUACUG